ensembl:processed_transcript
UUUGCGCAGCUGCAGCCAGACUACACACACAUGAGUGUAUGUCGCCACUAUGACGGCAAUUAACAUCUUGCCUCAGUGAUGUGCGUAUUUGCAAUGACAGCUCCUGUAGUCUGGAAACCAGGAAGGAUCCACCUACUAGGUAAAUGUACGGAGAGGAGAACCUUAACUCAUCUUCCCGGAGAGACUAAUUUCAGGUGCUAGAUGUUUUGUCUCAGCCCUGCAGCCAUGGAUCAGAUGAGAGAGCUCUGCACCUGUUGAACCUCACCACGCUAGCUUACAAUGUUCUGCUGGGAGCACCGACCCCAACCUUGGCAUGAGAAAGGAAAGGAGCGAAGGAGGUCUCGCCCUUCUCCACCAAGGACUGAUGUUGGAGAAAGGAGGGGUUCGAUGUCUUUGCCAACUGGCUCGUGUUCCAUGGGAAAGCCAGCCAGCAUCAUCCCAGCGUGAUACAGCCUGGCCUGGCAGAGCUCCAUACAUCCUGCAGACACCCCACCCGCCCCUUUACAACAGGAAUCCACAGGUCCUGCUGCACUCAGAGGAACCAGGCCAAAUACCGUUUACACCCGCUAGUAAGAUGCAUUUUGGGUAAUAUGAUCACAUAUUGUUAAAAAAUAGGAGACAGAUGUGGUCACAUUAACAAAAGUCCCAUGAUAUUUUGUGGCAAAAAGCUCGUUUAAUUUCUACACUUUCUGAUUCCAAAAGAGAACAAGUGGUGCAAAUAGUUUUCAAUGCAGACUGCUGU